rnacentral:lncRNA from 1 species
CAGAGCUGGAGAAAUACCGGUGGAUGUUUUCCCCAUUGCCUGGCUCCUUGUUCUCCAUCCACCCUUCUGCUCAAACCCUCACCAAAUCAAGGAACGGGGGAAAAUAAGAUCAAUUACAAGACAGCAAUUCUGUCUGAGAUUAAAGUGAUCGGAGUUGCUGGUUUGCCUUUGACCCAAUGUCAGCGGCACGUUAGUGACCAGCCAGUCAACAGUAGAAAAUCAAUUAGAUUGUUAUCAAGGUUAUCAAAGAAAUGAAGUGACAGCUUUUGGUGAGAUCCUGCUGCUUGAGUGAUGAGAACAUUUUGAGCUUCUGAAACCAUUCGGAAGAA